rnacentral:rRNA from 1 species
UACGAGGGGGGCGAGCGUUGUUCGGAAUUAUUGGGCGUAAAGGGUGCGUAGGCGGUUUGGUAAGUCUCGUGUGAAAUCUCCGGGCUCAACUCGGAGCCUGCACGAGAAACUGCCGGGCUUGAGUGUGGGAGAGGUGAGUGGAAUUCCUGGUGUAGCGGUGAAAUGCGUAGAUAUCAGGAGGAACACCUGCGGUGUAGACGGCUUACUGGACCGUAACUGACGCUGAGGCACGAAAGCGUGGGUAGCAAACAGG